CUACUUAGAACUCAGAAGACUAGAACAGCUGUCUAUAGGUACAUCUACAUGGAAUCCCCUACUUAGAACCCAGAAGACUAGUACAGCUGUCUAUAGGUACAUCUACAUGGAAUCCCCUACUUAGAACCCAGAAGACUAGAACAGCUGUCUAUAGGUACAUCUACAUGGAAUCCCCUACUUAGAACCCAGAAGACUAGUACAGCUGUCUAUAGGUACAUCUACAUGGAAUCCCCUACUUAGAACCCAGAAGACUAGUACAGCUGUCUAUAGGUACAUCUACAUGGAAUCCCCUACUUAGAACCCAGAAGACUAGUACAGCUGUCUAUAGGUACAUCUACAUGGAAUCCCCUACUUAGAACCCAUGAGACUAGUACAGCUGUCUAUAGGUACAUCUACAUGGAAUCCCCUACUUAGAACCCAGAAUACUAGUACAGCUGUCUAUAGGUACAUCUACAUGGAAUCCCCUACUUAGAACCCAUGAGACUAGAACAGCUGUCUAUAGGUACAUCUACAUGGAAUCCCCUACUUAGAACCCAUGAGACUAGAACAGCUGUCUAUAGGUACAUCUACUUAGUAUUUUUAUUAUUAUGAAAUGAAGGAACAUUUUUAAGAGUGGUUAGAGGGACAGGACAGGGGAAGGAUCUCCCUCUGCUCCGGUGCGUAUGUGGAUCAGGGACGGCAGCACUACCAAUAGACUAGCCCUAGGCACCGUGCCGAGCUAUAUCUGACACCUCUUCUAUCUUCCCUUUGCC